rnacentral:rRNA from 1 species
AUUGAACGCUGGCGGCAUGCCUUACACAUGCAAGUCGAACGGUAACAGGUCUUCGGAUGCUGACGAGUGGCGAACGGGUGAGUAAUACAUCGGAACGUGCCCAGACGUGGGGGAUAACGAGGCGAAAGCUUUGCUAAUACCGCAUACGAUCUAAGGAUGAAAGCCGGGGACCGCAAGGCCUUGCGCGUUUGGAGCGGCCGAUGGCAGAUUAGGUAGUUGGUGGGAUAAAAGCUUACCAAGCCGACGAUCUGUAGCUGGUCUGAGAGGACGACCAGCCACACUGGGACUGAGACACGGCCCAGACUACUGCGGGAGGCAGCAGUGGGGAAUGUUGGACAAUGGGCGAAAGCCUGAUCCAGCAAUGCCGCGUGCAGGAUGAAGGCCUUCGGGUUGUAAACUGCUUUUGUACGGAACGAAAAGGCUCUGGCUAAUACCUGGGGCACAUGACGGUACCGUAAGAAUAAGCACCGGCUAACUACGUG